UUCCUGGGCGUCUAGUGGUUAAGACACUGUACUUCCACUGCAGGAGGCCUAGGUUUGACCCCUGGUUGGGGAG
rnacentral:tRNA from 1 species